UUCCAGACUCCUACGGGAGGCAGCAGUGGGGAAUAUUGCACAAUGGGGGAAACCCUGAUGCAGCGACGCCGCGUGAGUGAAGAAGUAUUUCGGUAUGUAAAGCUCUAUCAGCAGGGAAGAUAAUGACGGUACCUGACUAAGAAGCCCCGGCUAACUACGUGCCAGCAGCCGCGGUAAUACGUAUGGGGCAAGCGUUAUCCGGAUUUACUGGGUGUAAAGGGAGCGUAGGCGGCAGGGCAAGCCUGAUGUGAAAGCCCGGGGCUCAACCCCGGGACUGCAUUGGGAACUGCCCCGCUCGAGUGCCGGAGGGGCAGGCGGAAUUCCUAGUGUAGCGGUGAAAUGCGUAGAUAUUAGGAGGAACACCAGUGGCGAAGGCGGCGUACUGGACUGUAACUGACGUUGAGGCUCGAAAGCGUGGGGAGCAAACAGGAUUAGAUACCCCCGUACGG
rnacentral:rRNA from 1 species